rnacentral:tRNA from 1 species
GCCUUGCUGGCUCAGUUGGUAGAGCAUGCGGCUCUUGAUCAUGGGGUUGUGAGUACAAGCCCUACGCUGGGCA